rnacentral:SRP_RNA from 1 species
GCUGGGCAUAGUGUGGGUGCUUGUAAUCCCAGCUGCGGCGGGAAGAUAGUUUGAGUUUAGGAGUUCUGGGCUGUAGCGUGCUAUGCCAGUUGGGUGUCUACACCCAGUUUGGUGUUAGUAUGGUGACUUCCCGGGACCUGGAGAUCAUCAGGCUGCCUAAGCAGGGGUGAAACAACCCAGGUCAGAAACAAAGCAGUUCAAAACUCCUGUGCUAAUCAGUAGUGGGCUUGGUGCCCGUGAAUAGCCACUGCACUCCAGCCUGGGCAACAUAGCGAUACCUGUCUCU